AUUAGUCUGUCUUUUUGUAUUCCAUUUUGCAUUAUUUAUUGAUAAAUUUUUGCUGCUCUUUUUUGGGAAUUAUAUAUAUUUUAUAGUAUUAAAAUGACAAGAAUUUUGUGAUGGAGCAUUGAAAGAAAAGCGUGACUUUUGAUAGUCCUCCCUUUGAAGAGGACGAAUUGGCUUCUUUGAAGGUACGUCUGGUCACUUUUCUCAUUUUACUGGAAAGGUAUCUUGGAAUUUAUUCAGGUUAUCAGCUAUUUUUGUUUUGUUUCCCUUUGUUUAAAGCCCUCUUCCCCUCUUCCUUUCCCUUCACUCAUCAUCUUCCUGUUUUCUUGGAGACCAUGCAAGGUAAAAGCUGUCUUUGGCUUGUGUUCUUACUUCUGGUUUUGCCCUCAAUCUGGCUCUGAUUUUGGGUUUUUUUUGUUUUCUCCUGGUGUUCCUGAGUUUUGACCCCAAAUGAGAGUCCAACAAAACAAUAAAAGAUGAUAAAUUGUUUUUUUCUUUUGUUUUUUCGUUAUUUAACCACUGAAGCUUUUAACUAUAUUUGGGCUUUCAGGGUUUUCGAUCUGGCACAUUGGCUGUUUUCUUCGCAGUCACUGAAAAAAAUUAUGAGUCACUGCUCCUUGUGGUAUAUAUAAGUAGCUAUCUUUUUCCUAUUUUCAGCAAAAAUAUGCACUAUUUCCUUUUCAUUAUUGAAGGCUUGCUAGCGGUAAAUUUCGUAAUGCAGCACUUACCUGUGGGCAUUGCAAGGCAACAAACUAUUUCUGUUUUGCUCAGGUUAAUCAUUCAGAUUGUGUUCCCAUUUGGUUUGACAGUGGUUUCAGAAUUGUAAUGGAGAAGGAAAUGUUCAAUAUGAAUUCGAGUAACUCGCAAUUUGCCUGGAUGCAUCUGAUCAGUAAUUCAUCCUCGAAAUUUGAAGGGGGAGUUGGACCAAACCAAUGUUGCAAAAGUUGUGCUUCAAGAUGCUACUUGAAACCUAUUAUGUGAAUGAAACAAGAACCAACUUGUUGACUUUCGCAAUAAGUUUAUCAAGGCUAUUGGAAUAGCAGUUGGAAUGAUGUGUUCUUGACAGGUUAGAAAGCUGUUUGUGAGGAAGAAGAAAUUGAAGGUACUUGGGGAGAUACAGAGGGGAAGAUUUUUAUACCAUGAUUCAUGUGUCACAGCCUGAGUUGCAGGUGUUAGAAUUUAAACUUUAGAUUUAUUGAAUGUUUCCUCUUAAGUGUGAUUGCAUAAAUCAAUUAAAUUUUAAGUCUAAUUUUAUUUUUGAUUAUAGACUUGAAAUAUAAUAUACAUUGGUGGGUUUGAAAAUUUUUAUUUUAUAGUAUUUGAUUAAAUGUCAAAUAUG